rnacentral:rRNA from 1 species
GACGGAGGAUGCAAGUGUUAUCCGGAAUCACUGGGCGUAAAGCGUCUGUAGGUGGUUUAAAAAGUCUACUGUUAAAAAUUGAAGCUUAACUCAAAGAUGCCGUAGAAACUUUUAAACUUGAGGAUGGUAGGGGUAGAGGGAAUUUCCAGUGGAGCGGUGAAAUGCGUAGAUCUUGGAAAGACCACCAAUGGCGAAGGCACUCUACUGGGCCAUGACUGACACUAAGAGACGAAAGCUAGGGGAGCAAAUGGG